rnacentral:rRNA from 1 species
AUUAACGCUGGCGGCAGGCUUACACAUGCAAGUCGAGCGGUAACAGAGAGUAGCUUGCUACUUUGCUGACGAGCGGCGGCAGGGUGAGUAAUGCUUGGGAAUAUGCCUUUGAGUGGGGGACAACAGUUGGAAACGACUGCUAAUACCGCAUAACGUCUACGGACCAAAGGGGGGGACGCUUCGGCACCUCUCGCUCAUAGAUUAGCCCAAGUGAGAUUAGCUAGUUGGUAAGGUAAAGGCUUACCAAGGCGACGAUCUCUAGCUGGUUUGAGAGGAUGAUCAGCCACACUGGGACUGAGACACGGCCCAGACUCCUACGGGAGGCAGCAGUGGGGAAUAUUGCACAAUGGGCGAAAGCCUGAUGCAGCCAUGCCGCGUGUGUGAAGAAGGCCUUCGGGUUGUAAAGCACUUUCAGUUGUGAGGAAAGGUAAGUAGUUAAUAACUGCUUACUGUGACGUUAGCAACAGAAGAAGCACCGGCUAACUCCGUGCCAGCAGCCGCGGUAAUACGGAGGGUGCGAGCGUUAAUCGGAAUUACUGGGCGUAAAGCGUGCGUAGGCGGUUUAUUAAGCAAGAUGUGAAAGCCCCGGGCUCAACCUGGGAACUGCAUUUUGAACUGGUAGGCUAGAGUAUUGUAGAGGGUGGUGGAAGUUCCAGUGUAGCGGUGAAAUGCGUAGAGAUUGGAAGGAACAUCAGUGGCGAAGGCGGCCACCUGGACAAAUACUGACGCUGAGGCACGAAAGCGUGGGGAGCAAACAGGAUUAGAUACCCCGGUAGUCCACGCAGUAAACGAUGUCUAUUAGAAGUUUGUGGCUAUAUGCCGUGGGUUUCAAAGCUAACCGCUUAAAUAGACCGCCUGGGGAGUACGGCCGCAAGGUAAAACUCAUAAUGAAUCGAUGCCG